rnacentral:rRNA from 1 species
GGGUUGUGAGGUUAAGCGACUAAGCGUACACGGUGGAUGCCCUGGCAGUCAGAGGCGAUGAAGGACGUGCUAAUCUGCGAUAAGCGUCGGUGAGGUGAUAUGAACCGUUAUAACCGGCGAUUUCCGAAUGGGGAAACCCAGUGUGUUUCGACACACUAUCAUUAACUGAAUCCAUAGGUUAAUGAGGCGAACCGGGGGAACUGAAACAUCUAAGUACCCCGAGGAAAAGAAAUCAACCGAGAUUCCCCCAGUAGCGGCGAGCGAACGGGGAGGAGCCCAGAGCCUGAAUCAGUGUGUGUGUUAGUGGAAGCGUCUGGAAAGGCGCGCGAUACAGGGUGACAGCCCCGUACACAAAAAUGCACAUGCUGUGAGCUCGAUGAGUAGGGCGGGACACGUGGUAUCCUGUCUGAAUAUGGGGGGACCAUCCUCCAAGGCUAAAUACUCCUGACUGACCGAUAGUGAACCAGUACCGUGAGGGAAAGGCGAAAAGAACCCCGGCGAGGGGAGUGAAAAAGAACCUGAAACCGUGUACGUACAAGCAGUGGGAGCCUCUUAAUGGGGUGACUGCGUACCUUUUGUAUAAUGGGUCAGCGACUUAUAUUCUGUAGCAAGGUUAACCGAAUAGGGGAGCCGAAGGGAAACCGAGUCUUAACUGGGCGUUAAGUUGCAGGGUAUAGACCCGAAACCCGGUGAUCUAGCCAUGGGCAGGUUGAAGGUUGGGUAACACUAACUGGAGGACCGAACCGACUAAUGUUGAAAAAUUAGCGGAUGACUUGUGGCUGGGGGUGAAAGGCCAAUCAAACCGGGAGAUAGCUGGUUCUCCCCGAAAGCUAUUUAGGUAGCGCCUCGUGAAUUCAUCUCCGGGGGUAGAGCACUGUUUCGGCAAGGGGGUCAUCCCGACUUACCAACCCGAUGCAAACUGCGAAUACCGGAGAAUGUUAUCACGGGAGACACACGGCGGGUGCUAACGUCCGUCGUGAAGAGGGAAACAACCCAGACCGCCAGCUAAGGUCCCAAAGUCAUGGUUAAGUGGGAAACGAUGUGGGAAGGCCCAGACAGCCAGGAUGUUGGCUUAGAAGCAGCCAUCAUUUAAAGAAAGCGUAAUAGCUCACUGGUCGAGUCGGCCUGCGCGGAAGAUGUAACGGGGCUAAACCAUGCACCGAAGCUGCGGCAGCGACACUAUGUGUUGUUGGGUAGGGGAGCGUUCUGUAAGCCUGUGAAGGUGGCCUGUGAGGGUUGCUGGAGGUAUCAGAAGUGCGAAUGCUGACAUAAGUAACGAUAAAGCGGGUGAAAAGCCCGCUCGCCGGAAGACCAAGGGUUCCUGUCCAACGUUAAUCGGGGCAGGGUGAGUCGACCCCUAAGGCGAGGCCGAAAGGCGUAGUCGAUGGGAAACAGGUUAAUAUUCCUGUACUUGGUGUUACUGCGAAGGGGGGACGGAGAAGGCUAUGUUGGCCGGGCGACGGUUGUCCCGGUUUAAGCGUGUAGGCUGGU